CCUGUCCCACACUCACCCUGGAGACAGCCGUGUUCCUGCCUGCGGCCAGGUCUGCCCACCCCCCUCCACUCCACACUCACCUAGGGGAGGAAGGGGCCAGGGAGGCCUGCCAUUUCCGUCAAGACAAACUCCCACCCAGGGUCACAGCAGCAGGUAGCUAGUUUAAAUUGUGGUAUUUACAACCAAAUGAAAGAGGGAAGGAGUCAAGUGGAGAUCACUGGAAAGUAAACACUGCAAAACCUCCAAAACCAGAAGCCUGGAGGCACAUUUUCUUUGGGAAUAGGCCAACUAUUUGUUCCUUUGAAACUCCCUAUUGGUCAGCAUCUAGCAUUCUGUCUGAGAUGUUCAUGAACAUACACUACCAAUUUGGAUGCCGGGGAAGAGCUGGAGUUUGCCCAAGAGCCGUGCCAAAGAACCAGAAACCCUACUCCCAAUCUGAACACAGCUGUGACUUGCACUCACAGAGACACAGGCCUUCAAAGGAAACAAACUAAGCUACCCCUGUGGACAGAAGGCCUCUAGACCAGCCCUCCAGGUGCAAGACAGACCCAGAAGCAUUUGAAGAUUAGAGAAGUACACGGUGAAUCUCCAUGCCAAGGAAGCUUUCUAUUCUCCUAAGCUGAAAGAUCUGCAGGCACUGAGCUCAUUAACAGAAGCACCUGGAGAGUCAGAAACCCUCGCCUGAAAGCUGGGAACGGCUGACGCGCGCCCCCUGCCGGCUGUUCUGAAAACAAUCAAAUAACGUGGGGCUGGCGGCCUGGAUAGGGACGCUUCACAAAGAAACGAGAAAACGGCGGCCAUGCUGAGACUGUGCUGGGCUUGGAAUACGCAGUUCUGGAGACCAGAGAGAAAAGACAGGAGCAAUUCAAAACGGCCGGUUCCCUAAAGGAAUGUUUGAGAGAGUGGUUCUGAAAUACAAAUGGUCUUUCAGCUUGAAAAUGUGCAAUGGCUGGUAGAUUCGCAGAGCCUGAAUUCAGAACACAAAGAAAAGGCGAGAAAUGAGAUGUCAUCCUUGACUAAAAAUAGAAACAAUCACAAAAGCCAUACAUAGACAGACAUAUAGAAGAUGUUGACGAAAACAAUAUUUGAGUGCUUAUUAGGGGCCAAGCACCAUUCUAAGAGCUUUACCUUUAUUAUCUCAUCUGAUCGUCAUAAUGAUCCUAUGAAAUAAUAUUAAUUUAUCAGAUGUGGAAAGUAGGGCAUACAGAUGUAAAGCAACUUGUGCAAGGCCAAACAGCUAGAAAAUAGCAGAGCUGGGAUAGAUACAGCAAACAAAAGGCAGGUGGAAAAUGGAUUACAGGUUGCUCUUAUCCGAGGUGUUUGCCGCCAGUGCAGUGGCGUGUGACUGUAACCCCAACUCCUUGAGAGGCUGAGCUCAGGAGUUUGAAUCCAGCCUGGGCAACACAGCUAGACCCCCCGAC